AGGAUGAACGCUAGCUACAGGCUUAACACAUGCAAGUCGAGGGCAGCAGGACGAUAGCUUGCUAUUGUUGCUGGCGACCGGCGCACGGGUGAGUAACGCGUAUCCAACCUUCCCCUUAGUAGGGCAUAGCCCGGUGAAAAUCGGAUUAAUACCCUAUGUUGUGUCAUGAGGACAUCUGAAUAACACUAAAGAUUUAUCGCUAAGGGAUGGGGAUGCGUCCGAUUAGGUAGUCGGCGGGGUAACGGCCCACCGAGCCCUCGAUCGGUAGGGGUUCUGAGAGGAAGGUCCCCCACACUGGUACUGAGACACGGACCAGACUCCUACGGGAGGCAGCAGUGAGGAAUAUUGGUCAAUGGGCGUAAGCCUGAACCAGCCAAGUAGCGUGCAGGAUGACGGCCCUAUGGGUUGUAAACUGCUUUUAUACGGGGAUAAAGUGAGGGACGUGUCCCUUAUUGUAGGUACCGUAUGAAUAAGGACCGGCUAAUUCCGUGCCAGCAGCAGC
rnacentral:rRNA from 1 species